AAGGCUCACCAACAUGACUACCCAAACGUGAGCUGAACAGGGAUGACACCAAUAGACACAUCAAACUGAGUGUGGAAAAGCUCACACGAAUUCAACCCUACACAGGAACUCCAGGAAGCUGAGUGAAGCUGGGAGCAGGAGAGAUGUCCUCCCCAGGGAAGAGCACACCAAUCAGUUGUUCAGUGCCCAGUGGUCAUCCCUGAAAGCAUAGAUCAAAGUAACAUCAUGUGGACUCAACAGGACAAGUCAAAGGCUUUGCUUGGAAGCUUGGAGGUAAUCUUUCCUGUUUGGUGAUCCUCUUCUUUGUAGAAGGAUUAGAGUCCACCCAAGGCUCUUCAAGGCCUGCCUGAACAAGAGAACAGGCUCCACUUUUGGGGGAAGAUGAAAUGACACCAUAAGAGAAGAAGGCAGAGCCAGUUGACAGACACUGGACCUCUUUCAAGUUCACAGCAGAGGGAGAGCAGCGUGUCCAGUUACCAAGCAGAGGAAACACAGUUGGAAUGGCCAUGGAAGAAGUGCAGGAGUAGGUGGAGAGGCUGCAUAACCAAGGGACAGCAGGAAACCAGACAACACCUGCUGGUAAGAACAAGGACUCAAUCAGUAGGUUUGUAGGCCAGCCUGCUUCCAUCUGCUUCUGGCCAUUCUUGACUGGUGCAAAGCUAGAUUACCUUUUCAGAAAUGCUGAUGGCUGAGGCAGGUGGCUAUCUCUUGGAGAGAUAUAUGGCAGCUUUGAACUAGUGCCUUGUAAAAGGCCUGUGUGAUAAGAACACGGACUUAUCUUCUGUGACUCUCCUCAAAGCUCCCAGUGCUUUAAUCAAACACACUGCUCUCUGUUCGUACUUGCUCAUGAGCAAGGUGGAGAAAGGUAAACUAGAAAGGGGAUCUGGGACUAAUAUAUGACAUGCUAUCUUAACACGCUUCAAAGUUAAGACCUGAUUCAUGAAAUUGUUAGGCAAACACAGACAGAUAUGGCCUUUGAAUCAAGGAAAUGACAUUAUUAGAGCUAUAUGAACACGAGUGCACUAGAGAUACAGCAAGAUAUGCUUUUUAAUCAUGAAGAUUCUGGGGUCAGACUGUCUCUGCAUGGAUUCCUUCCCUAAUCUUCCUAGCUCUGACCUUCUUAACGUUGAACUUCAGUAGUCUCAUCUAUACAGUGGGAACAAAAACUA